rnacentral:piRNA from 1 species
GGUUUAGGAUACAAAGUGACAGUGAGA